ACCUGCCCAGAAGCGGGGGAUAACACCUGGAAACAGAUGCUAAUACCGCAUAACAACUUGGACCGCAUGGUCCGAGCUUGAAAGAUGGCUUCGGCUAUCACUUUUGGAUGGUCCCGCGGCGUAUUAGCUAGAUGGUGGGGUAACGGCUCACCAUGGCAAUGAUACGUAGCCGACCUGAGAGGGUAAUCGGCCACAUUGGGACUGAGACACGGCCCAAACUCCUACGGGAGGCAGCAGUAGGGAAUCUUCCACAAUGGACGAAAGUCUGAUGGAGCAACGCCGCGUGAGUGAAGAAGGGUUUCGGCUCGUAAAACUCUGUUGUUAAAGAAGAACAUAUCUGAGAGUAACUGUUCAGGUAUUGACGGUAUUUAACCAGAAAGCCACGGCUAACUACGUGCCAGCAGCCGCGGUAAUACGUAGGUGGCAAGCGUUGUCCGGAUUUAUUGGGCGUAAAGCGAGCGCAGGCGGUUUUUUAAGUCUGAUGUGAAAGCCUUCGGCUCAACCGAAGAAGUGCAUCGGAAACUGGGAAACUUGAGUGCAGAAGAGGACAGUGGAACUCCAUGUGUAGCGGUGAAAUGCGUAGAUAUAUGGAAGAACACCAGUGGCGAAGGCGGCUGUCUGGUCUGUAACUGACGCUGAGGCUCGAAAGUAUGGGUAGCAACAGGGAUUAGAUACCCCUGGGUAGUCCAUACCGUAAACGAUGAAUGCUAAGUGUUUGGAAGGGUUUCCGCCC
rnacentral:rRNA from 1 species